GAUGAACGCUGGCGGCGUGCUUAACACAUGCAAGUCGAACGGUGAACGAGGGAGCUUGCUCCCUCCGGAUCAGUGGCGAACGGGUGAGUAACACGUGAGCAAUCUGCCCCGAACUCUGGGAUAAGCGCUGGAAACGGCGUCUAAUACCGGAUACGACGCGCGAAGGCAUCUACUGCGCGUGGAAAGAAUUUCGGUUCGGGAUGAGCUCGCGGCCUAUCAGCUAGUUGGUGAGGUAACGGCUCACCAAGGCGACGACGGGUAGCCGGCCUGAGAGGGUGACCGGCGACACUGGGACUGAGACACGGCCCAGACUCCUACGGGAGGCAGCAGUGGGGAAUAUUGCACAAUGGGCACAAGCCUGAUGCAGCAACGCCGCGUGAGGGAUGACGGCCUUCGGGUUGUAAACCUCUUUUAGUAGGGAAGAAGCGAAGGUGACGGUACCUGCAGAAAAAGCACCGGCUAACUACGUGCCAGCCGCCGCCGUAACAC
rnacentral:rRNA from 1 species